AGGGUUAAUUUUAAUUAAAAAAAAGAAAAAAAUAAGAAAGGCGAAGACAACGACGCUUAAUUAAGCCCCGUGAAGCAACGACGCUUACUCGCGAAAACUCCGCGAAAUUGGUUUUGUCUUCCUCCGGGGCCGCUGCUGCGGCGUCGACAUCGGGAUCAUCAUCUUCUCCAGCGGCUGGUUCGUCAUCGUCGACGACCACGUCCUGGUUCUCAGGAAUCGUUAGAGGCAAAUCGGGAACGGGAAGCUAUCGAAAAGCGCGUCAACGGUGGGAGGAGGAGAAAGCGGGGAUUACGGUGGAACAAUCAAAGGGAAGAACCAAUUUCGCAGAGUUUUGUUCAAAUACAGUCCCAAAUCAAUUCAGAGAUUUUAAGUCAAUGUUCAGAAUGUACUUUUGAAGGAUGCACAAGAGAUUGACCAACUCAUAAGCUAUCUCAUCAACAAAGAGAACUCUGAAGGUGUUGUUCUGCUUGGUCAGGUGUUGUUCUGCUUGGUCAUAGCACUGACUGCCAGGACAUUGGGUAUUAUAUGGGAACGAAUGCUGCAUGUUCCUGAGCCGUCCGAGCUACAAUUUUGCAGGUGACAAUUCCAGAUUAUGUGACUUGUAUUUUCUCGCUCUUCUCUUAAAGCUAUAUCAUAUGUUUUGACUUUAAUGUAGCUUUGAUCAUAAUGUGUAGUGCAAUGUGUUUAUGUUUUGAAAAUGUUGAAUACAAAAAAAAUCCUAAGAAACUUGCAAUGGAGGAGAAAAGGUAUCAAGUUGUUUAGAUAA